rnacentral:rRNA from 1 species
AGCGAACGCUGGCGGCAGGCCUAACACAUGCAAGUCGAACGAACCUUUCGGGGUUAGUGGCGGACGGGUGAGUAACACGUGGGAACGUGCCUUUAGGUUCGGAAUAACUCAGGGAAACUUGUGCUAGUACCGAAUGUGCCCUUCGGGGGAAAGAUUAAUCGCCUUUAGAGCGGCCCGCGUCUGAUUAGCUAGUUGGUUGAGGUAAUGGCUCACCAAGGCGACGAUCAGUAGCUGGUCUGAGAGGAUGAUCAGCCACAUUGGGACUGAGACACGGCCCAAACUCCUACGGGAGGCAGCAGUGGGGAAUCUUGCGCAAUGGGCGAAAGCCUGACGCAGCCAUGCCGCGUGAAUGAUGAAGGUCUUAGGAUUGUAAAAUUCUUUCACCGGGGACGAUAAUGACGGUACCCGGAGAAGAAGCCCCGGCUAACUUCGUG